rnacentral:rRNA from 1 species
AGAGUUUGAUCCUGGCUCAGGAUGAACGCUGGCGGCGUGCCUAAUACAUGCAAGUCGAACGAGUUCUGAUUAUUGAAAGGUGCUUGCAUCUUGAUUUAAUUUUGAACGAGUGGCGGACGGGUGAGUAACACGUGGGUAACCUGCCCUUAAGUGGGGGAUAACAUUUGGAAACAGAUGCUAAUACCGCAUAAAUCCAGGAACCGCAUGGUUCUUGGCUGAAAGAUGGCGUAAGCUAUCGCUUUUGGAUGGACCCGCGGCGUAUUAGCUAGUUGGUGAGGUAACGGCUCACCAAGGCAAUGAUACGUAGCCGAACUGAGAGGUUGAUCGGCCACAUUGGGACUGAGACACGGCCCAAACUCCUACGGGAGGCAGCAGUAGGGAAUCUUCCACAAUGGACGCAAGUCUGAUGGAGCAACGCCGCGUGAGUGAAGAAGGCUUUCGGGUCGUAAAACUCUGUUGUUGGAGAAGAAUGGUCGGCAGAGUAACUGUUGUCGGCGUGACGGUAUCCAACCAGAAAGCCACGGCUAACUACGUGCCAGCAGCCGCGGUAAUACGUAGGUGGCAAGCGUUAUCCGGAUUUAUUGGGCGUAAAGCGAGCGCAGGCGGUUUUUUAAGUCUGAUGUGAAAGCCCUCGGCUUAACCGAGGAAGUGCAUCGGAAACUGGGAAACUUGAGUGCAGAAGAGGACAGUGGAACUCCAUGUGUAGCGGUGAAAUGCGUAGAUAUAUGGAAGAACACCAGUGGCGAAGGCGGCUGUCUGGUCUGUAACUGACGCUGAGGCUCGAAAGCAUGGGUAGCGAACAGGAUUAGAUACCCUGGUAGUCCAUGCCGUA